rnacentral:rRNA from 1 species
GACAGAGGUGCCGAGCGUUAGGCGGAAUCACUGGGCUUAAAGCGUGUGUAGGCGGAUCGUUAAGUACCUUGUGAAAUCCCCCGGCUCAACCGGGGGACUGCUGGGUAUACUGGCGAUCUUGAGCGAUCUAGGGGCAGAUGGAACAAGUGGUGGAGCGGUGAAAUGCGUAGAUAUCACUUGGAACGCCGAUGGUGAAAACAGUCUGCUGGGGAUCUGCUGACGCUGAGACACGAAAGCCAGGGGAGCGAACGGG